AAAAUGGAGGUGGCCAAUGUUAAUACUCUUGGCACAUCCAUAUCAGGAAAACAAGGUAUGAUGAUGUCAAAAUUGAUGUCAUCUGGCUAGCAGAGCACAGCUGUGAUUUGACUUAGCAGUCCAAGCCAAAACAGCUUUUUUGCUCAUGAGUGGGAGUAACCACAAAGGACGCAAUUAUCUAUGCUGGUUCUUAGCUUGCAACAUGGCUCUGAUCUUUUGGGCCCCAAGGGGUUUAGAAGCAGGCUUAUGAGGCCACCCCUUUGUUAACACAUGUCUAGACAAUUGCUCAUGGGAGACUAAGGCCUGUCGGCGAGGAGCUUUUUUGCAUUGGCUUGUUUGGAUGCCAGGGGUUUUAAUCAGAAAAAACAAAACUCUUCAGCAUACCUGGCCUGCAUUUACAAACCAGCUAAUCUGCUCUGAAAAUGGAUUAAAUUCACUUUAAGCCAGUACAGAGAGAGCUGCAUCCAUGCAGACCCAGGCUUCUUAAUUCUUUUUGCCAGCAGGAAGUCCUGCUGCUAUCCCACAUCACACUUCACAUGUGGAUGCAACUAUCUGUUACCUGAUGCCUUUUCCUGCACUGGAGUCAUGCUGGCCAGCUGCUGUCUUUCCAUGUCAAUGGUGGCAUUCAGGGAGGUGGGCCCCAUGUGCACAGCAGUGGGCAGCUACUUCUUGGUGCUCUGCUAGCCAAACCUCAUGCAUCUGCUUGGCCCUUAGCAGAGAUCAUGAUUUUUUUGGUCUGGGGUGAGGAGGUUGCUGAUUAGCUCUCUCAGCUGUGGACAGGCUGUAUUUAUUGACUAAAAGGAUAACAGCGACUGAUGGCAUGCCAAGAUAUAGGAGCAUAUGGUGAUACAAAUGAUGGUCGGGGCAGUCCUGCGACUAUUUUCACUGCCAUGACAAAGGAAGGGAGCUUGAUGGGAUUCUUUGACCAGGAGAUCAACACAGCCUUUCUCGGUACUAGCCCCUGUCAUAAGCUGAGCCAGGGUUUUGCCAAGGAAGCUGCAGGCCAACCCCAGAACUGCAGACAGUGCAGCAGGAGCCCUUGAGGACUGCAAUGAAGAGAAGCUUCUCUGGAAAGUCCUCCGCGCAGCACCAAAGAAGACAGAUGGCUCCUGAAACUAAGGUGUGCGCUCACAGCAUGACAGCCCUGCAGAGGCGGACCUCUCCCAUUUCCGCACCUGAUCUACUGUGCCCCCCGGACAGAAACAUUAUCCACCUUGCAACGCUGACAGAUCUCCAGUCAGAAAAGGAAGACGGAUGAAAUGUUUUGGGAUUUUUGUCCGCGUCCCAAAAGAAGGAUUAGAAUACGAAAGUAGGGAGAGCUUUUUUGUGUGGUGUUUCUUGCAGAGAGAGGACAGAAUUAACAAGGGCUGCUGCGGAGAAAGUAAAGAAGUGAAAGGAAACAUUGGAGUUUCUGCACAAGCAAACCAUUUUUGUGAAAGAGCAUUUCCAUGCAGUGAUGUCACCCAGACUAUGACCCUUACUGUACCCAACAAUCCUAUAGCCCACGGAACAGUGCAUGCUGGGAGGGAUCCCCACAUUCUAGCCACAGAUACAUCUCACCUCCAGCGUGGAGGAAAACUGGCUGCUUUAAUUUAAAAUAAAAAUCAGAUUUAAGUGUUCAAUUAAAUAUCCUGUUAAAACCUCUGCAAUUAAAGGGUGGUCUAUAUUAAGGCUGAGCUUACUCCUAUUUUUAAAAAUAUUUUAAGUAAUGCUCUUGCUACAGAUAUUUUAAACAAACUAGGAUUGGGGAACUGAUGUAUAUCCCUACUCUAAGCACCUAGAACCAGAGUUUGUGUUAAAACAGCUCUUGAGAUCUAUGGCCUCUUCUGCAAUUGCUGAGAAUAUUUUCUCUUUUAGUUUGAGUAGUUCAUGCACAGUUACAAACUGAGGAAACAUCAGAAAAUCUUGUUUCCUUAAUUCUGUGAAUAAAAAUGGAGGGUCAGGAUGAGCGCUGCUACUUCUAAAACUGGGUAGAUGCAGUAAUUGGAAACGAUCAGUUCUGUUCACUAGUUAUACAUGUUUUUGUUAGUGUACCAGUUUGAGAGCUAAAAAUGUUAGGAUAGAUGCAGCGAUAAGCAUGUUAACUAAUAAACAAGUUUAAAAUG